CGAUUCUUCUGUAUCAGCCUCAUAAGUGCUGGGAUCACAGGCAUGGGCCACCAGCCCAGCUACAGCUCCUGGCCAUAGCUGGUAUGGCAGUUAUAACAAGCUUACAUCAGCCUGCAAACUGCCGGCAUGGAAUCUUGACCCUCUGGCAUUCUGUAGCAUGCUUGGGUGCAAGAUCAGGCAAAAACUAGAGAGUCAAAGAAAGAGAACGUUAGUGAAGGCCAGAGUUGGCAAUUUGAUGUUCUUUACACAGCAAGAGGGCCCAGAAAUGGCAGUGAAAUCUGCACACCAGAGAGGGAAUCUUAACAUGUUUUCUCAUGUUAUGCCUUCCAUUAGCAUGCAUGUAGAUGAUAGGUCACUUUCAUGGUUCACAAAGGCAUUUAUACACAGUUCAUAUUUAGCAGCCUAAAACAACAAGAGCAACAACAAAGAUACUGCCUUGUCUUAACUGUACGCACUUAAUUAUUGUACUGUCUGGUUUUGUGUGUCAAGUUGACACAAGCUGGAGUUAUCACAGAAAAAGGAGCCUCAGUUGUGGGAAAUGCCUUCACGAGACCCAGCUGUAAGACAUUUUCUCAGUUAGUGAUCAUGGGGGUGAGUACCCAGUCCAUUGUGGGUGGUGCUAUCCCUGGGCUGGUGGUCUGGUCUUGUGUUCUAUAAGAAAGCAAGCUGAGCAAGCCAGGGGAAACAAGCCGGUAAGUACCAUCCGUCCAUGGCCUCUGCAUCAGCUCCUGCUUCCUGACCUGUUUGAGCUCCAGUCCUGACUUCCUUUGGUGGUGAACAGCAUGGAAGUAAAUUGAAUAAACCCUUUCCUCCCCAACUUGCUUCAUAAUGUUUGUGCAGGAAUAGGAAUCCUGACUAAGACAAAUUGGUACCAGAAGUGGGGUAUUCCUGUGACAACCUGAACAUAUUUUGGGGAGGACUGUGGAAGGACUUUGGAACUUUGAGCUAGAAGAGCCAUUGGGUGUUAAGGGAUCUGGAGCCUAGAAGACAAGGUGUGUGCUACAAAGGGCAGAUCUGGAGAAGUGACCCAAGCCCUUGGAGGAGCCUAGAAGAUUGUAAGUGGAUCCCAGACAUUGGAUGGUUGGAGUUUGAUUUUGCUUUUGAUUGUGACUGUGCCCUGAUAUUUUUCCCUCUUGAAGGAAGACAGUAUUCUAGUGGACUCCACAGUUAAGAGACUUUGAAUUUUAAAAAGACUUUGAAUUUUAAAAGAUAUUGUGUAUUUUAAAUGGAUUGAACUUUUAAUAUAUAAAGACUGUGUGACUCUUAAAGUUAUUUAGAUCUUGGGGAUGAAUAAGACAGUAGGGUUGAGGCUUAAUAGUGAUGUGUUUGUGUGUCAAGUUGACAAGGGGUCAAUUGUACUGUCUGGUUUUGUGUGUCAACUUGACAGAAGCUGGAGUUAUCACAGAAAAAGGAGCCUCAGUUGUGGAAAUGCCUUCAUGGGACCCAGCUGUAAGGCAUUUUCUCAAUGAGUGAUUAAGGAGGAGAUGUUUGCUGUGUUCUGUAGCUGCAGAUCUUCAGGCUGUCACUGUCCUCAUCACUGUGGACCAGUGGUGAGGCAGAGACAGAGCAUCAGCAGGAGGAGUCUGGGAAGGAGACAAACGAGAGACAGGAAGGGGCGGGAUUAAGAUCCACACUUCAGAGCACAGCCCUUGCA
ensembl:lncRNA AC095078.1